GGGCCCGCACAAGCGGUGGAGUAUGUGGUUUAAUUCGAUGCAACGCGAAGAACCUUACCAGGGUUUGACAUCCUGCGAAUCUCUUGGAAACGAGAGAGUGCCUUCGGGAACGCAGUGACAGGUGGUGCAUGGCUGUCGUCAGCUCGUGUCGUGAGAUGUUAGGUUAAGUCCUGCAACGAGCGCAACCCCUAUAUUUAGUUGCCAGCACAUAAUGGUGGGGACUCUAGAGAGACCGCCGGUGAUAAACCGGAGAAGGUGUGGAUGACGUCAAGUCAUCAUGCCCCUUACAUCUGGGCUACACACGUACUACAAUGCUACGGACAAAGAGCAGCAAGUUCGCGAGGACAAGCAAAUCUCAUAAACCGUGGCUC
rnacentral:rRNA from 1 species